rnacentral:rRNA from 1 species
CCCUUAGACACUCUAGGCGGCACGCGCGCUACAAUGGGUAGAAGACUGUGUUACUGCCCUCGAAAGAGGGGGUGAAUCACGAAUUCUGACCCGUGAAUGGGAUAGUUUGUUGCAAUUUUCGGACUUGAACUAGGAAUCCCUUGUAAGCAUGCUCAAGAAUAGUAUGCUGAAUACGUCCCUGCCGUUUGUACACACCGCCCGUCGUACCUACCGAUUGGAUGGUCCGGUGAAGCCUCGGGAUUGUGGUUCUUGCCGCUUUAUUGUGGCGUGACCGCGAGAACUUGUCUAAACCUUAUCAUCUAGAGGAAGGUGAAGUCGUAACA